CAUAUUUUUACACAAAGCAGGUGAUAUAGACAGAGCGCAUUAAUUUGCAAUUCUGUGAAACAGGAAUCAAGAGACAGGAAGCAGAAAAAAAACUAAAACGGAAAUCAGAGGUGCUUGAAAGGUGACAGUUCUCUCACUUGUAUUUUGACAUCCUCUAACAUAAGAGAAUGUGCAUAUACUAUAGAAAACCAGUUAGAAUGUUUCACAAAUGUUUUUUACAGCAGCCAGUUGAGUAAAG